rnacentral:rRNA from 1 species
UAUGUAGGGUGCGAGCGUUAAUCGGAAUUACUGGGCGUAAAGCGUGCGCAGGCGGUUUUGUAAGUCAGAUGUGAAAUCCCCGGGCUUAACCUGGGAAUGGCAUUUGGGACUGCAAGGCUUGAGUGCGGCAGAGGAGACUGGAAUUCCAGGUGUAGCAGUGAAAUGCGUAGAUAUCAGGAGGAAUACCGAUGGCGAAGGCAGGUCUCUGGGCUGACACUGACGCUCAUGCACGAAAGCGUGGGGAGCAAACAGG